UGAGGAAUCUUCCACAAUGGGCGAAAGCCUGAUGGAGCGACACCGCGUGAAGGAUGAAGCCUUUGUUGGUGUAAACUUCUUUUCUCUGGGAAGAUAAUGACGGUACCAGAGGAAUAAGGGGCGGCAAACUUCGUGCCAGCAGCCGCGGUAAUACGAAGGCCCCAAGCGUUAUCCGGAAUUACUGGGUGUAAAGCGUCUGUAGGUGGUCUAGCAAGUCUUUCUGUGAAACUCUGGAGCUCAACUCCAGAUUGCAGGAGAAACUAUUAGACUUGAGUGUGGGAGGGGGAAGCAGAACGGUAAGAGUAGGGGUGCAAUCCGUUGAUACUUACCAGAAUACCAAAAGCGAAGGCAGCUUCCUGGAACACAACUGACACUGAGAGACGAAAGCGUGGGGAGCAAAAGGG
rnacentral:rRNA from 1 species